CCUACGGGGAGCAGCAGGCGCGAAAACUUUACAAUGCGGGAAACCGUGAUAAGGGGACACCGAGUGCCAGCAUCAUAUGUUGGCUGUCCAGAUGUGUAAAAUACAUCUGUUAGCAAGGGCCGGGCAAGACCGGUGCCAGCCGCCGCGGUAACACCGGCGGCCCGAGUGGUGAUCGUGAUUAUUGGGUCUAAAGGGUCCGUAGCCGGUUUGGUCAGUCCUCCGGGAAAUCUGACGGCUCAACCGUUAGGCUUUCGGUGGAUACUGCCAGACUUGGAACCGGGAGAGGUAAGAGGUACUACAGGGGUAGGAGUGAAAUCUUGUAAUCCCUGUGAGACCACCUGUGGCGAAGGCGUCUUACCAGAACGGGUUCGACGGUGAGGGACGAAAGCUGGGGGCACGAACCGGAUUAGAUACCCGGGUAGUCCCAGCCGUAAACGAUGCUCGCUAGGUGUCAGGCAUGGCGCGACCGUGUCUGGUGCCGCAGGGAAGCCGUGAAGCGAGCCACCUGGGAAGUACGGCCGCAAGGCUGAAACUUAAAGGAAUUGGCGGGGG
rnacentral:rRNA from 1 species